UCCAUUAUUAAAGUUAAUUAUUUCAGUUAAGUACUGGAAGAUACUGGAAUUUCAAAAGCAGCAAAUUUAUUUCUUAACUUGCAUUUAUCAUGUAAGAGGAAUCAAAUUGCUCAUGAAUUACUAGGCUGACAGCCAUUGACAUUUCCUGUGGGACACUUUCACAGUUGGGGCAAGAGAAGGCUGAAUACCAGGUGCAGUUUCAACAUGUGUUUUGGGAUACAUUCCUGAAUGUCUGAGAUUUGCAUUGAAUUUAUGGGAACAAUGCCAUGGAUCUGAGAGGGGGGAGGAAUCCAUCUCCUAGAGCAAGACUGUGGAAUCGGAUCAUCGUGCCAAGUGUCUGCUGUGCUCAACCUUUAGCUACAGCUUGUUUCUCACAUGGAUUGACUCAGGAAAUACUGCUUCAUGGGCUGUAGCUAUUUGUCAGGCUUAUGACUCAACAAACUGAAAUAUUGGACAAAUGUAAUUUUGUUUCACAACUUAGGCUGCUCACACAUAGCACAUGCGACUGUGAAUAUGAUCAUCAGCAGCCUCAGAUGCACCAGUCUUCAGUCCACUCAGAGGAGCAGAGAUGAAGGAAGAAGAGAGACAACCUGACCUUGGCUGCAAAGGGCAACAGGAUACCAACAGAUGCAAGUGUGAAUUUUAUUCAUGAAGAGAAUUCUGCCUGGACCUGCAGGUGGAAGAUUGCCAGAUAGUUCUGAGGAGAAAGUGUGCUGUGAAGCAAAAAAGGACUGCAGUCAAGGAAGACGUCUAAUGGCCCAGCUGAGAUGCUGCCAGACAGUCCAUCUGGCCAACAAAAUAUUUCUCAACUGCCUCCCCUCCCUUUCUCAGAUGUAGUGAUGGCUGUUUCCCAGAAAGCAACCUUUAUCUACUAUAAUUCUUCUGGUGGACCCAUGUGAUUGCUUGAGCCAGGGCUCUGACUGAAGGCAAGGUUUGAAGAGGACCUUCUUCACAUGCAGCCUUAAGAGAAAGAAGUCAGGCUGGAGAUUCAAAAUAUCCUCACCUCUUCUCCUUUACAAGUCCAGACUUACAAAGACUCAGUAACAGACAUAAUUAUUCCGUCAUUGAUAUGGAACUCAUAUGGUUACUUCUGGAACUUUGUUUUAGCAGUGUUUUACUCAUGAAAACAUCAUCAAUGUAUCAACAGUUAUUGUAUUGAGAACACACUAUGUUCAGUAUUUUAUGAUGGUUUGACCAACUAGAUUUGGAGAGAAAAGGGACAGGCUUUGUAAAAGAAGUUUGCUUGCACUGAAAAAAAAAAUUAUAUCACUGCAAAUGAUCAUGUUUAAAUGGAUUAAAUUUUGAAAUCAUUGCUAACUCUUCCAAAAAACUCCAAAAUAUUUUUAAGAUUAUUCUAAGUAGAAUCAGUGUUAGGUUAAAAAUUGCCUGGUUUUAAUUUAUAUUCAAUAAAAUAUAUUCAACUCUUCCUUUGAUACUUAAGGAAGUGUUCUCUCUUUCUGGUUGAUCAUUAUGAUAUCUCUUUAUUUUAGAGAGUUAUAUGAACUUCCUUCCUUAAAGACCAGUGACCUUUUAUUGCAAAGAUAUCAGGACAAACUCGUUUGACCAUCUGCAUCUGCAUUGUUCAAAUUCCAUAGCCCUAAAUGUUUUUCUAUCUUCUCAGAGAAGUUCAGGCUCCAUUGUGCUUCUUUUGAUCUUCAAAAGUGGGACCUUUUCAACUUCAUCCAGGUACAGAGUCAAUGAUAAUGCUGGUAUAGAUGUGCUGCAGAAUUUAUGCCCUGGGGGCAGUACAGAGGAGAAUUUAUCCAUCAGCUUCCAUCCUGCAAUACUCUACCAGUUGUAGCAAGUUGCCUUUUACUUUUGGGUGCCACCCUGUCAGAGAAGCUCUGGAGCACAAAGCAACAGACAUGGAGUGUAGCCAAGCCACGUACUGUCUGGUUAUACUUGCAUACAGCUGUUUGCUAUAUGAAUUUCUGGGUGGCACAUAGGCUUGGAGGAUGAGACAGGACCCCAAAAAUUAUAGUAAAUAAUUUAAUGGCUCUCAGUGAGUCAAUUUGUGGUCAUUAGGGUGUCUUUAGAUAAUGGUGUUUUCAUUCCGAUAGACCAGAAUUUCAUGCUCUUUGGUUGGGAUGGAACAGUGCCUGGGUUUCCUACCCACAUGGUAGGGCAAAAGGAAGGCAGUCAAGUUCAUCACAGGUUGUCACUAAAGCUCUGGAUAGCAGAGGCAGGUGCUAAUUGGGGUGGGAGGAGCUGGAGAAGAGUGAGAAAUGAGAGUGGUCCUCCUCAACAGAUACAAAUACAGAAUUAGGCGGGGUUGUAAUCCUGACUGUCAAACAGGGUGAGAGUGGGAUGAUCACAUGGCAAAUCAAACAUCUCAAUGCCACUUUUAUCAUCAUAGUUUUGUAUUCUAGUGCAGAGGCCUGCAGGCUCAUGGGAGCCAAGGACACAUGUGCCAGUUGUUCUUUUAGGAAACUUACAAAUAGUAUUCUUUACUCCUUGAAUUUUGAUCCAUUGUGACAAGAAGGAUCUAAAUUAGGUAAAAGAACAAAAUAUCACCCCUAGUAUAACAAUCUUUUAUUAGAGACUAUCUACAUAAUCUCUACAACUGUGUGAGUAGGUGAACUGACCCUAGAAUCAGGCAUUUACCUACCUAGUCACAAGCUGGGCUGGAAAAACUUAGUUAUCCCCUAUGGACUAAACUACUUUCAUUCUUACAGUGAGCAGAGCAGGUGGUUCUGGGAGAGAGGUAAGAGAAAGAUGUUGUUUGUUAUACAAAUCCAGCUGAUUAUUACAAACUCAUCAGUCUUCAGUAGAGAAAUGAACUGGAUUAACUUGACAGCACACCUCCUUCUCCCUAAGUAGAUAUGUCAUGAGGGGAUAGAAUGAGGGGGAUAGAAGCAGUCCGUAGGAAAAGUCCUGCUUUUACCAAGCAGUGCCAUGUACAGCUCAACCUGCUCAACUGCCCUGUGGUCUAUUCUUCAUGGAUAAGUUGGAGGUGGACUCUUGACCUUCCUGCUAUAUCUGUUGCAGUAGAUUUUGACUCUGGUGUUGAGAGUGAUAAAACAUAAUGAGGAAAUUUACAAAUAUGAAUAAAUUAUUUUAUACCUGUUUGUUUACUGAAUGUAGAAAUAGAGCUUCGAAGAUGUUAAGACACCUACUCUCUUUCAGUGAUUUUAAGAAGCAUUUUCUUUCACAUGUUAACAUCUCUGAAAUUGUGACAUGGCUGGGUUACUAUUGAUGGGGAACAUGGAAUAUUUGGCAGAUUCCCCCACUUUCUUACUAGUAAAUAACAUAAUGAGGAUGUUUUCUAAUACACAUUAUCUCAGAUUCAAUAAUUAACUAAUACAUAACAAAAGUAGAAUUUGUUACCUGUGUGAUUCCAAACUUCAGGUGAUUUUCUGGUCAACGAUAAUUUUCACCUGAAACAUACAAGCAAUUAAGGCAACACAUGUUUCAUGCUCUUUGAAGACUAUUUCCUUCUUUCCCCAUAUCAUUUCAUGUACUGGCAAGCAGUUUGGGAUUUUGUGUCUUGCUUGACCACAUCUGCACAGGAUUAUGCUCCUUGGGAGCCGAAUUCCUUCUUUCCCUGUGAGCUGAGGCCACUUAAUGAGUUCUGUGGAGUGGUCUGAUGAAACAUGUUUAUCACAAGUUGGAAUGAGUGGUGAUUGAAUUCCAGCAGCUGGGUUUUAUUAGAAAAAGUACAAACUGGGCCAUUCAUAUUUCUUUAUGUAAACUCAGUACUGAAGUGGAUGUGAGGGGAAAAGUCUUGGGAACUUUUUUUAUUGCUCAAGACUAGGUCUUGUUGCAAUUGAGAAAUGUGGGAAAUAACUGAAGUAAUAUUUUGCUUAAUACUUGUUUUCUCAAGCAAUAUUUUAUUUAAAUCUUUUGUAUUCAAUAAACCUUAAGUGUCUACUUUGUGUAAAGUGUGAACUAGAGGCUGCAGAGAAUAAGAAUGCUACCUGCCAUUGAGAGUUUUAUGUGACAUAUAAAGGGAGCCACUGAGUUCACUAUGACAAGUUAUAGCAGAGCUAGUUAGGUGACAGAGGGUUUGAGGAAGGAAGAAAUACCAUACAUAUAAGCUCUUCAGGUAUUGCUUCUUAGAAACAAUAGCAGAGUUUGGAAGUUUUGGAAAAAAUUUUUUCUCUACUUGUAGAGAUGGGAUUGAUAAUUCUGGGUUUCAACAGUGGCAUGCUGCAUUAUUUUGAAUUGAAUUUUCACAGAAAACAACUAAAAAAUGGUACAUGUACUAUUUUUCAAUAAUCUCCUAAAAGCUAAAUAGCUGAAAAAUAAAGUAUUAUUACACAAAGAUUUGAAGAAAAUCAGAAAUUCAGCUUUCAAAAUGGCAGAUGAAAGGCCUCCUUGUGCCUCAGGACAUUUGCUCACUCCUCCAAAUUUGACUGUCAUUUUCAUCACCUAUGCAUAAUGGCCAGUCUAAUAGAAAAUGGCAUUUGAUGAGUCCAUAACCUAGGAAGCUGCUUAGACAGGAUAAAGAAGAACCAGGUGUACAACUGCCUUCAACCAUAUUUCUUACAAGAUAAAAGUCUAGGUGAUAGUAAACCAGAAAUUUAAGAUUUGACAUGCUUUUGUCCUGGUAGUUGUUUGAAGCACAAAUUAACUUGAAGAGAGGCAGUAAAUAGCAUAAGAGCAUCUAUUCUCAUCAAUUUCAAAGUUUUAUUUGUGACCAUUAAGAGUUACACCACAGCCCUGAAGAAACUGAGAAUUUGUACAGAUCUGUGUAUGUAGGAUUGUGUAUAUUUUGUUGGCACUGUAAGGUGAAAAUCUACUCAUACCAUUACCUCUUUUCUUUCUUUCUUUUUUCUUUCUUUCUUCUUCCUUCCUUCCUUCCU